AUUGAGCGCUGGCGGCAGGCCUAACACAUGCAAGUCGAGCGGAUGAAGGGAGCUUGCUCCUGGAUUCAGCGGCGGACGGGUGAGUAAUGCCUAGGAAUCUGCCUGGUAGUGGGGGAUAACGUCCGGAAACGGGCGCUAAUACCGCAUACGUCCUGAGGGAGAAAGUGGGGGAUCUUCGGACCUCACGCUAUCAGAUGAGCCUAGGUCGGAUUAGCUAGUUGGUGGGGUAAAGGCCUACCAAGGCGACGAUUCGUAACUGGUCUGAGAGGAUGAUCAGUCACACUGGAACUGAGACACGGUCCAGACUCCUACGGGAGGCAGCAGUGGGGAAUAUUGGACAAUGGGCGAAAGCCUGAUCCAGCCAUGCCGCGUGUGUGAAGAAGGUCUUCGGAUUGUAAAGCACUUUAAGUUGGGAGGAAGGGCAGUAAGUUAAUACCUUGCUGUUUUGACGUUACCAACAGAAUAAGCACCGGCUAACUUCGUG
rnacentral:rRNA from 1 species